rnacentral:rRNA from 1 species
GACGAACGCUGGCGGCGUGCCUAAUACAUGCAAGUAGAACGCACAGGUUAUACCGUAGCUUGCUACACCAUAGACUGUGAGUUGCGAACGGGUGAGGAACGCGUAGGUAACCUGCCUGGUAGCGGGGGAUAACUAUUGGAAACGAUAGCUAAUACCGCAUAAUAUUGAUUAUUGCAUGAUAAUUAAUUGAAAGGUGCAAUUGCACCACUACCAGAUGGACCUGCGUUGUAUUAGCUAGUAGGUGAGGUAACGGCUCACAUAGGGGACGAUCCAUAGCCGACCUGAGAGGGUGAUCGGCCAAACUGGGACUGAGACACGGCCCAGACUCCUACGGGAGGCAGCAGUAGGGAAUCUUCGGCAAUGGACGAAAGUCUGACCGAGCAACGCCGCGUGAGUGAAGAAGGUUUUCGGAUCGUAAAGCUCUGUUGUAAGAGAAGAACGGGUGUGAGAGUGGAAAGUUCCCACUUGACCGGUAUUUUACAGAAAAGGAACGCCUACCUACGU